GGGUAAUUGAAAGAUGAACUGAGGUCCACACUCCAGUCCAGUUGGUAGUGCACCUUAAAAUUGGUUGCCAAGCACAAUAUAAAGUCAAAAAAACAAGAAGAAGCCUGAAGGAGGAGAGAUUACUAGAAACAAACUCGUUUUACCCUAUUAUCUGUGGAUGAAAUGUCAGAGUAGAGGACCUUGGGCAUUUCAGAGAAGGCAGGUGGCUACUGACUCUGACUGUUUGGUCACCUGGCCAGAUUGAACCCACCUCUGGAGCCUGUCCUCAUCCUCUAAAGGCAUCCCCUAACUUACCAUGCCCAAGAGGAAGGAAGGCCUAGAGCCAGAUGGUCUGACCAGCUGGAAGACAACCUACACAACCUGGGACUCAACACCACAUCAGCCUGGGACCUGGCCCGGGAACUGGGUGGCACAGAAAGCCAAAUAUCCAGUCUCUACUCUCCAAGGAGCUAGUGAAGACAAUAACAUUUAAUGCCUGGGCUUCUUCCUGGAGUGGAUUCUCGAUACAGAAACAUCAUUCUGUUGUCUGCAUGUGUCAUUGUAGCAGAACUGUAUCUCGUGAACUGUAUCCCCCUCAAGGGAUUAGACAUUAUGAUGGAUUUCAAGCAGAUGAGGAGCUGAAUGACAGUUUGAUCAUGACAACACUCCUCCCACAGCUUUACAAUUAUUCCCUGAACUUACUGUAGGUUUCUUUUGGAAUUGCAAUUUUAUCAUGACCACCUCCUCCCAUCUGCUGAUCACCAGUUCUUUUAUAUACACAUUGUAACACCAGAUAAUGUGAUUUAACUAAAGAUUUUUGGUAUUCUUUACUGGGAGUUACAGGAUAUGUAUUUCCAACCAACCUUAGCGAUGUCCUCGAAACAGGAGUCAUAAAAUGUCAAAUGCUCCCGUUAUUAAAAUAAAUGCUUUUUUUUGCUCCAAAAAGAUGGUGUGCCACCAUCCGUGUCUUUCAAGUCUUCUCACUCAUUUAUAGAGACUGUCAUGAUGACAGAGACCUCUCAGCACUUUGGAGU